UGGCGAACGGGUGAGUAACGCGUGAGGAACCUGCCUCAUACAGGGGGAUAACAGUUAGAAAUGACUGCUAAUACCGCAUAAGACCACGGUACCGCAUGGUACAGUGGUAAAAACUCCGGUGGUAUGAGAUGGACCCGCGUCUGAUUAGGUAGUUGGUGGGGUAACGGCCUACCAAGCCGACGAUCAGUAGCCGACCUGAGAGGGUGAUCGGCCACAUUGGGACUGAGACACGGCCCAG
rnacentral:rRNA from 1 species